GCAGCACUCACAGAAGAACAGAGCAAUGCACACACACAGACUCCACCCACUGACCAUCUGACUCCAGGAGGUUCCCUCCUCUGGGAGGAGGCUCAGUUGUGGGAAUAAAAUCAGAGCAGACACCAGAGGGGCCCAGCUUGCCAGGAGCCUGAGAGUCAAACCUCCUCUCCAGAGGAAGAGCCUAGCCCACAGCAAAGACUAUGGAGCUCACCUCAGCCCCUCUCCACAAAGGACAGGUCUCUUGGAGGGGACUCCUACUCACAGCCUUGCUUUUAACCUUCUGGAACUUUGCCACCACUGCAGAACUCACCGUGGAGGCAGUUCCAACACACGCUGGUGAAGGGGACAAUGUUCUUUUCCUUGCCCUUAAUAUGCCACAGUCACAGAAGUUUUUUAACUGGUUCAGGGGGGAUCGACUUAAUAUGUCAAACAGCAUUGUACGAUUGAUAACACACAGAAGUAAAAUAGAAAGAGGACCUCUCUACAGCAAUAGAGAGACAAUACACACCGAUGGAUCCUUACUCUUCGAGAAUGUCACUAAGAAAGAUGCAGGAGUCUAUUUGCUAGUUGUGACUACGGAAGACUUUGAUGAAAAGAGAGCAACUCUGCAGUUAUAUGUACAAGAUCCAGUGACUCCACCCUCCAUCCAAGUCACCAACACCACAGUCAAAGACCUGAUGUCUAUAUCCCUGACCUGCUUGUCAAAUGAUGUGGGGAUCUCCAUCCAUUGGCUCUUCAACUCUCAGCGUCUGAGAAUCACAAAUAAGAUGAUGCUGUCCGCGAACAACAGCACCCUCCAAAUAGACCCUGCCAGGAGUGAGGAUUCAGGGGACUAUCAGUGUGAGGUAACCAAGGGAUUCGUUAACAAGAGGAGUGACCGCAUCACUCUGAACAUAAUAGAUCCAGUGACUCCACCCUUCAUCCAAGUCACCAACACCACAGUCAAAGAUAUGAUCUCUGUUUUCCUGACCUGCUUGUCAAACGACACGGAUAUCUCCAUCCACUGGCUCUUCAAAGGCCAGAGUGUGGAGCUCACAGACAGGGUAAGGCUGUCCCAGAACAACAGCACCCUCCAAAUAGACUCUGUGAGGAGUGAGGAUUCCGGGGACUAUCAGUGUAAAGUAUCCAAUCAAAUCAGUUCCAAGAGGAGUGACCCCAUCCAGCUGGACAUAAAACGUGUAGAACCUGUUGAUUUUGGACCUCCAAAACCAAAAGAACAUCGACCCUCAUCAAGGGGUAUCAUUGGCAUUGUUGCUCAAUGUCUGAUGGGACUGAUUGCAGUAAUAUUUGUUCUGGUUUUCCUGUGGCGCAGACGUCGUAGCAGGGAGCCACAAAUUGAGAACAACGUUAAACAGAUGGACAAUGAGCCAACCAACCUCAAUGAGCCAACCAACCUCAAUGAAAGCCCAAAGGAAGCCUCAAAAGUGAAACCUCAUAACAAAGAGAAGAAAACAGGCAAGAAGUAAGAGCAUGCUCAGUGAGGACAACUGGACCCAUCUACCCACAGUCAUGUGACAACUCUCCUAAUGAGGUGGAUGGAGCUUCACAUUAUUUCCUGAAAAACAAUGUCCAGCAACCCAAAUCCCUAACUUCAGUCUUCCCAUCUCCACCAGCAACAGCAAUGGUCUUCUGAAAUAAAAACACAGUGAUGAGACCUGUCCCAUUAA